UGAGGCAGAAGAGAUGGGUGUGUCUUAUCC
rnacentral:piRNA from 1 species